UAAAUUGCCCAAUCUCGACACGGGGAGGUAGUGACAAUAAAUACUGAUACAGGGCUCUUUUGGGUCUUGUAAUUGGAAUGAGUACAAUUUAAACCUCUUAACGAGGAACAAUUGGAGGGCAAGUCUGGUGCCAGCAGCCGCGGUAAUUCCAGCUCCAAUAGCGUAUAUUAAAGUUGUUGCAGUUAAAAAGCUCGUAGUUGAAACUUGGGCCUGGCUGGCGGGUCCGCCUCACCGCGUGCACUCGUCCGGCCGGGCCUUCCUUCUGAAGAACCUCAUGCCCUUCACUGGGCGUGCUGGGGAAUCAGGACUUUUACUUUGAAAAAAUUAGAGUGUUCAAAGCAGGCCUUUGCUCGAAUACGUUAGCAUGGAAUAAUAAAAUAGGGCGUGCGUUUCUAUUUUGUUGGUUUCUAGAGACGCCGCAAUGAUUAACAGGAACAGUCGGGGGCAUCAGUAUUCAGUUGUCAGAGGUGAAAUUCUUGGAUUUACUGAAGACUAACUACUGCGAAAGCAUUUGCCAAGGAUGUUUUCAUUAAUCAGUGAACGAAAGUUAGGGGAUCGAAGACGAUCAGAUACCGUCGUAGUCUUAACCGUAAACUAUGCCGACUAGGGAUCGGGCGAUGUUCUUUUUCUGACUCGCUCGGCACCUUACGAGAAAUCAAAGUUUUUGGGUUCUGGGGGGAUUAUGGUCGCAAGGCUGAAACUUAAAGAAAUUGACGGAAGGUCACCACCAGGCGUGGAGCCUG
rnacentral:rRNA from 1 species